rnacentral:lncRNA from 1 species
CCUAAUAGAUUUUGAUUUGUUAUUAAUAUUGCUAUAACACUUAUUAUUAUUAUUAUUAUUUUCAAAAUUUUAAAAUAUACUAUUAAUUUAUUUUUAUCAUUGUCAAAGAAGAUUUAAUUUUUAUGAUAAAUAUUUCGAAAAUAAAACUAUGAAUACGUCCAGGCAUAUGAAAUGGUGCACCUUUAAAAUUGAAAAGAAUAUUAUACCUAGCCAAAAUUUAGGGACAUCUGACCUUAUUACUAAAACAAAUAAUUAUGCAAAUUCCUUUUGUUGUUGUUGUUAUUUUUAAAGUGAAAUUGUAUGUGACUUAGAUUUGAUUUUAAAGUAUAGUUAAUGAAAGUCAUUAUAAAG